CAAAAGAGAUAAAUAUACACUUAUACCCCAAAGGUAAAUUAAUUUAGACAUUAAGGUUUAGAGUUAAGGGGUGAAGUUUAAGGAUUUAGGGUUUAGAGUUUAGGAUUUAGGGUUUAGAGUUUAGGGUUUAGAGUUUAGGGGUGGGGUUUAGGGUUUAGGGUUUAGAGUUUAGAGUUAAGGGGUGGGGUUUAGAAUUUAAGGUUUAGGAUUUAGGGUUUAGAGUUUAGGUUUUAGAGUUUAGAGUUAGGGAAUGGGGUUUUGGGAUAAGAUUUCAAAUUUUGAAAAAUAAAAAAAAUUUAAAUUUUUCAAAAGAUAAAAUGCUAUUUUGGUCAUUUUAGUUUUUAAG
rnacentral:lncRNA from 1 species